rnacentral:rRNA from 1 species
GACGAACGCUGGCGGCGUGCCUAAAACAUGCAAGUCGAACGGUGUAGCAAUACACAGUGGCGAACGGCGGAGUAAUACAUGAACAACGUGCCCGGAAGACUGGGAUAGUCAGGGGAAACCCUGGGUAAUACCAGAUGUGGCCGAUCUUUGGCAUCUUAGAUCGAUUAAAGGGUUUCUCGCUUCCGGAGCGGUUCAUGGCCUAUCAGGUAGUUGGUGAGGUAAAGGCUCACCAAGCCGACGACGGGUAGCGGGUCUGAGAGGAUGAUCCGCUCGAGUGGGACUGAGACACGGCCCACACACCUACGGGUGGCAGCAGUUGGGAAUCUUGCACAAUGGGGAAACCCUGAUGCAGCGACGCCGCGUGGAGGAUGACGGA